CUUGCGGUACUAUUUCGUUGGUUUCUAGGACGCGAGUAAUGAUUAAUAGGGAUAGUUGGGGGCAUUCAUAUUUAAUUGUCAGAGGUGAAAUUCUUAGAUUUAUGAAAGAUGAACAUGUGCGAAAGCAUUUGCCAAGGAUGUUUUCAUUAAUCAAGAACGAAAGUUAGGGGAUCGAAGACGAUCAGAUACCGUCGUAGUCUUAACCAUAAACUAUGCCGACUAGGGAUUGGCGGAUGUUCCAUUUACGACUCCUUCAGCACCUUUAGCGAAAGCAAAGUUUUUGGGUUCCGGGGGGAGUAUGGUCGCAAGGCUGAAACUUAAAGGAAUUGACGGAAGGGCACCACCAGGAGUGGAGCCUGCGGCUUAAUUUGACUCAACACGGGGAAACUC
rnacentral:rRNA from 1 species